rnacentral:rRNA from 1 species
UACGUAGGGGGCAAGCGUUGUCCGGAUUUAUUGGGCGUAAAGAGCGUGUAGGCGGUUCGGUAGGUCCGUUGUGAAAACUCGAGCUCAACCUCGAGACGCCGAUGGAAACCCCCGAACUAGAGUCCGGAAGAGGAGAGUGGAAUUCCUGGUGUAGCGGUGAAAUGCGCAGAUAUCAGGAAGAACACCCGUGGCGAAGGCGGAUCUCUGGGACGGUACUGACGCUGAGACGCGAAAGCGUGGGGAGCGAACAGG